AUAGAUAGACGUGAAUCAUCGAAUCUUUGAACGCACUUUGCACCUUGUGGCUUUUGUCACUAGGUAUACUUGUUUGAGUAUCCAAAACAAUCUCACCUCCCCUUCGGGGCGAAGUGGACUUGAGAGCAUCGAUGAGAGUACGUGUGCGCCUUACGGAGCAAGCGUGUCGUGUCGUCUCUUUGAAUACAUGGUCCUUUGUGGGAGGUCUCCGUCUGGAGCCUGACAGACUAUUGGGAUAACAUCCUGACGAUCGUUUGUCGGCUCACGUAUGAUUUGGACGUUGACUAACCUUGGCCAACCCGGAAGCGCUCUUAUCGGUAAAAGGAUAUGGGGCAAAUCCAUCAUGGUGCGUAAGGACAUAUGGGUAUAAUAUGACACUAUUGCUAUACAUUUAUGUGUAGUGGUGGGUGUAAUAGUGUAUUUGUUUGGUCCUAUCGUGUACAUGUGCAAUGGAUCUCAAAUCAAGUAAGGAUACCCGCUGAACUUAAGCAUAUCAAUAAGCGGAGG
rnacentral:rRNA from 1 species